rnacentral:piRNA from 1 species
UGGUAAAUGCCUGUCCACAUGAUCACUCAUC